rnacentral:rRNA from 1 species
GGUUAAGCGACUAAGCGUACACGGUGGAUGCCCUGGCAGUCAGAGGCGAUGAAGGGCGUGCUAAUCUGCGAUAAGCGCCGGUAAGGUGAUAUGAACCGUUAUAACCGGCGAUACCCGAAUGGGGAAACCCAGUGUGACUCGUCACACUAUCAUUAACUGAAUCCAUAGGUUAAUGAGGCGAACCGGGGGAACUGAAACAUCUAAGUACCCCGAGGAAAAGAAAUCAACCGAGAUUCCCCCAGUAGCGGCGAGCGAACGGGGAGGAGCCCAGAGCCUGAAUCAGCAUGUGUGUUAGUGGAAGCGUCUGGAAAGGCGCGCGAUACAGGGUGACAGCCCCGUACACAAAAGCGCAUGUGCUGUGAGCUCGAUGAGUAGGGCGGGACACGUGGUAUCCUGUCUGAAUAUGGGGGGACCAUCCUCCAAGGCUAAAUACUCCUGACUGACCGAUAGUGAACCAGUACCGUGAGGGAAAGGCGAAAAGAACCCCGGCGAGGGGAGUGAAAAAGAACCUGAAACCGUGUACGUACAAGCAGUGGGAGCACCCUUCGGGGUGUGACUGCGUACCUUUUGUAUAAUGGGUCAGCGACUUAUAUUCUGUAGCAAGGUUAACCGUAUAGGGGAGCCGGAGGGAAACCGAGUCUUAACCGGGCGUUAAGUUGCAGGGUAUAGACCCGAAACCCGGUGAUCUAGCCAUGGGCAGGUUGAAGGUUGGGUAACACUAACUGGAGGACCGAACCGACUAAUGUUGAAAAAUUAGCGGAUGACCUGUGGCUGGGGGUGAAAGGCCAAUCAAACCGGGAGAUAGCUGGUUCUCCCCGAAAGCUAUUUAGGUAGCGCCUCGUGAAUUCAUCUCCGGGGGUAGAGCACUGUUUCGGCUAGGGGGCCAUCCCGGCUUACCAACCCGAUGCAAACUGCGAAUACCGGAGAAUGUUAUCACGGGAGACACACGGCGGGUGCUAACGUCCGUCGUGAAGAGGGAAACAACCCAGACCGCCAGCUAAGGUCCCAAAGUCAUGGUUAAGUGGGAAACGAUGUGGGAAGGCCCAGACAGCCAGGAUGUUGGCUUAGAAGCAGCCAUCAUUUAAAGAAAGCGUAAUAGCUCACUGGUCGAGUCGGCCUGCGCGGAAGAUGUAACGGGGCUAAACCAUGCACCGAAGCUGCGGCAGCGAACGUAUCACCCAAGACAACUUUACGGAGUUGACGAUUGACGGAGCGAAGCGACGUCAAAGCGUUCAUUAAAGUCGAGUUGGCUUAGGGAUACGUUCGUUGGGUAGGGGAGCGUUCUGUAAGCCUGUGAAGGUGUGUCGUGAGGCAUGCUGGAGGUAUCAGAAGUGCGAAUGCUGACAUAAGUAACGAUAAAGCGGGUGAAAAGCCCGCUCGCCGGAAGACCAAGGGUUCCUGUCCAACGUUAAUCGGGGCAGGGUGAGUCGACCCCUAAGGCGAGGCCGAAAGGCGUAGUCGAUGGGAAACGGGUUAAUAUUCCCGUACUUGGUGUUACUGCGAAGGGGGGACGGAGAAGGCUAUGUUGGCCGGGCGACGGUUGUCCCGGUUUAAGCGUGUAGGUGUGUGUUCCAGGUAAAUCCGGUUCACUUUAACACUGAGGCGUGACGACGAGGCACUACGGUGCUGAAGCAACAAAUGCCCUGCUUCCAGGAAAAGCCUCUAAGCAUCAGGUAACACGAAAUCGUACCCCAAACCGACACAGGUGGUCAGGUAGAGAAUACCAAGGCGCUUGAGAGAACUCGGGUGAAGGAACUAGGCAAAAUGGUGCCGUAACUUCGGGAGAAGGCACGCUGACACGUAGGUGAAGUGAUUUACUCAUGGAGCUGAAGUCAGUCGAAGAUACCAGCUGGCUGCAACUGUUUAUUAAAAACACAGCACUGUGCAAACACGAAAGUGGACGUAUACGGUGUGACGCCUGCCCGGUGCCGGAAGGUUAAUUGAUGGGGUCAGCGUAAGCGAAGCUCCUGAUCGAAGCCCCGGUAAACGGCGGCCGUAACUAUAACGGUCCUAAGGUAGCGAAAUUCCUUGUCGGGUAAGUUCCGACCUGCACGAAUGGCGUAAUGAUGGCCAGGCUGUCUCCACCCGAGACUCAGUGAAAUUGAACUCGCUGUGAAGAUGCAGUGUACCCGCGGCAAGACGGAAAGACCCCGUGAACCUUUACUAUAGCUUGACACUGAACAUUGAGCCUUGAUGUGUAGGAUAGGUGGGAGGCUUUGAAGUGUGGACGCCAGUCUGCAUGGAGCCGACCUUGAAAUACCACCCUUUAAUGUUUGAUGUUCUAACGUGGACCCGUAAUCCGGGUUGCGGACAGUGUCUGGUGGGUAGUUUGACUGGGGCGGUCUCCUCCUAAAGAGUAACGGAGGAGCACGAAGGUUGGCUAAUCCUGGUCGGACAUCAGGAGGUUAGUGCAAUGGCAUAAGCCAGCUUGACUGCGAGCGUGACGGCGCGAGCAGGUGCGAAAGCAGGUCAUAGUGAUCCGGUGGUUCUGAAUGGAAGGGCCAUCGCUCAACGGAUAAAAGGUACUCCGGGGAUAACAGGCUGAUACCGCCCAAGAGUUCAUAUCGACGGCGGUGUUUGGCACCUCGAUGUCGGCUCAUCACAUCCUGGGGCUGAAGUAGGUCCCAAGGGUAUGGCUGUUCGCCAUUUAAAGUGGUACGCGAGCUGGGUUUAGAACGUCGUGAGACAGUUCGGUCCCUAUCUGCCGUGGGCGCUGGAGAACUGAGGGGGGCUGCUCCUAGUACGAGAGGACCGGAGUGGACGCAUCACUGGUGUUCGGGUUGUCAUGCCAAUGGCACUGCCCGGUAGCUAAAUGCGGAAGAGAUAAGUGCUGAAAGCAUCUAAGCACGAAACUUGCCCCGAGAUGAGUUCUCCCUGAGACUUAGAGUCUCCUGAAGGAACGUUGAAGACGACGACGUUGAUAGGCCGGGUGUGUAAGCGCAGCGAUGCGUUGAGCUAACCGGUACUAAUGAACCGUGAGGCUUAACCUU